rnacentral:rRNA from 1 species
GUAGUUGGCGGGGUAACGGCCCACCAAGCCAACGAGCAGUAACUGGUGUGAGAGCACGACCAGUCACACGGGCACUGAGACACGGGCCCGACUCCUACGGGAGGCAGCAGUAAGGAAUAUUGGUCAAUGGACGCAAGUCUGAACCAGCCAUGCCGCGUGGAGGAUGAAGGCCCUCUGGGUUGUAAACUUCUUUUAUCUGGGAAGAAACCACUCUUUUCUAAGGGUGUUGACGGUACCAGUUGAAUAAGCACCGGCUAACUCCGUGCCAGCAGCCGCGGUAAUACGGAGGGUGCAAGCGUUAUCCGGAUUCACUGGGUUUAAAGGGUGCGUAGGUGGGCAGGUAAGUCAGUGGUGAAAUCUCCGGGCUUAACCCGGAAACUGCCGUUGAUACUAUCUGUCUUGAAUGUAGUGGAGGUGAGCGGAAUAUGUCAUGUAGCGGUGAAAUGCUUAGAUAUGACAUAGAACACCCAUUGCGAAGGCAGCUCGCUACACUAUUAUUGACACUGAGGCACGAAAGCGUGGGGAUCAAACAGGAUUAGAUACCCUGGUAGUCCACGCCCUAAACGAUGGAUACUCGACAUCAGCGAUACACAGUUGGUGUCUGAGCGAAAGCAUUAAGUAUCCCACCUGGGAAGUACGAUCGCAAGAUUGAAACUCAAAGGAAUUGACG